GCAGUGGGGAAUAUUGCGCAAUGGACGAAAGUCUGACGCAGCGACGCCGCGUGGGUGAUGAAGGCCUUCGGGUCGUAAAGCCCUGUUGAGGGAGAGAAAGCUACUGUCGGUUAAUACCCGGCAGUGGUGAUAGUAUCCCUAGAGAAAGCACCGGCUAACUACGUGCCAGCAGCCGCGGUAAUACGUAGGGUGCAAGCGUUGCUCGGAAUUACUGGGCGUAAAGGGAGCGCAGGCGGUUUUGUAUGUCGCAGGUGAAAUACUCCGGCUUAACUGGAGAAACGCCUGCGAAACUGCAGGACUAGAGGACAGGAGAGGUGGACGGAAUUCCCGGUGUAGCGGUGAAAUGCGUAGAUAUCGGGAGGAACGCCGAAGGCGAAGGCAAUCCACUGGACUGUUCCUGACGCUCAUGCUCGAAAGCUAGGGGAUCAAACGGGAUUAGAUACCCCGGUAGUCCUAGCCGUAAACUAUGGGUACUAGGUAUGGCGGCGUCUGCUUGCCGUGCCGAAGCUAACGCAUUAAGUAC
rnacentral:rRNA from 1 species